CACUGUUAAAUAACCUGCUAUGCGCGUUAUUCAGUGUGCACCAAAUUUUUAAUGUUAUUUCUUCAUAGACAGAAAAAAUAUUACAGUCAUUCCUUAAUUGGCCAUUACUUCACAAGAGCUUGCUUAAACUUUUUUUAGAUCCAUGUUUAUAUACUUCAACUUUAUACAGAGACCUAGGAAUACUGUAUUUUGUGAGCAGCAAAAACAAAGGUUAAAGUUUAUGAAAAGGUUACACAUAAAAAGUCAUAUUUCAGUGUUCAAAUAUAUGGCACUUACGAAACAAAUCACACUGGUCAUUUUAUUAAAAGGGGC
rnacentral:lncRNA from 1 species